CCUUUGUACACACCGCCCAUUGCUCUUACCGAUUGAAUGGCUCAGUGAGGCCUUGGGACUGGCUCAGAGAGGUCGGCAACGACCACUCAGAGCCGGAAACUUGGUCAAACUUGGUCAUUUAGAGG
rnacentral:rRNA from 1 species